rnacentral:rRNA from 1 species
GACGGAAGGUGCAAGCGUUGCUCGGAAUCACUGGGCGUAAAGGGUGCGUAGGCGGGUCUUUAAGUCAGGGGUGAAAUCCUGGAGCUCAACUCCAGAACUGCCUUUGAUACUGAGGAUCUUGAGUUCGGGAGAGGUGAGUGGAACUGCGAGUGUAGAGGUGAAAUUCGUAGAUAUUCGCAAGAACACCAGUGGCGAAGGCGGCUCACUGGCCCGAUACUGACGCUGAGGCACGAAAGCGUGGGGAGCAAACAGG